GAGUGGCGAACGGGUGAGUAAUAUAUCGGAACGUACCCAAGAGUGGGGGAUAACGUAGCGAAAGUUACGCUAAUACCGCAUACGAUCUAAGGAUGAAAGCAGGGGAUCUUCGGACCUUGUGCUCCUGGAGCGGCCGAUAUCUGAUUAGCUAGUUGGUGAGGUAAAGGCUCACCAAGGCCACGAUCAGUAGCUGGUCUGAGAGGACGACCAGCCACACUGGAACUGAGACACGGUCCAGACUCCUACGGGAGGCAGCAGUGGGGAAUUUUGGACAAUGGGCGAAAGCCUGAUCCAGCAAUGCCGCGUGAGUGAAGAAGGCCUUCGGGUUGUAAAGCUCUUUUGUCAGGGAAGAAACGGUUAGGGCUAAUAUCCCUCGCUAAUGACGGUACCUGAAGAAUAAGCACCGGCUAACUACGUGCCAGCAGCCGCGGUAAUACGUAGGGUGCAAGCGUUAAUCGGAAUUACUGGGCGUAAAGCGUGCGCAGGCGGUUUUGUAAGUCUGACGUGAAAUCCCCGGGCUCAACCUGGGAAUUGCGUUGGAGACUGCAAGGCUAGAAUCUGGCAGAGGGGGGUAGAAUUCCACGUGUAGCAGUGAAAUGCGUAGAGAUGUGGAGGAACACCGAUGGCGAAGGCAGCCCCCUGGGUCAAGAUUGACGCUCAUGCACGAAAGCGUGGGGAGCAAACAGGAUUAGAUACCCUGGUAGUCCACGCCCUAAACGAUGUCUACUAGUUGUCGGGUUUUAAUUAACUUGGUAACGCAGCUAACGCGUGAAGUAGACCGCCUGGGGAGUACGGUCGCAAGAUUAAAACUCAAAGGAAUUGACGGGGACCCGCACAAGCGGUGGAUGAUGUGGAUUAAUUCGAUGCNACGCGAAAAACCUUACCUACCCUUGACAU
rnacentral:misc_RNA from 1 species